rnacentral:rRNA from 1 species
AUGGCAGCAUCCAAGCUCACCCCCACCUUGCCCGUCUCUUCCCUCGCCCUCGCUGCCUCACGCUCGCCCGGCCAGCUGCGUUCCCCGGCCCUUCGCCCGCCGCCGACGACUGGAGCUGACACGGGCUUGAGCUGGAUUUCAUCAAACAGCGUUGGCCGCGGCACGACCGUGUCGUGCGCUACUGCUGUCGACGGCCAGGACACCACCAUCCAUGACCACGGAAGCAGGUGGAAACCAACUGUCUGUGUGGUACUUGGGGAGCUCAUCAACACAGGAACUAUACUAUUAGGCAAGGUAGUAGUUGAUGGCGGCAUGUUUGUAUUCUCAUUGCUCUGUUAUAGAAGCAUUCUAGGUGUCGUUUUCAUCUUGCCAUUUGCCCUACUCCUCGAAAGAGGGAAGUGGAAAGAAUUGGAUACAAAGGCUCUUGUGUGGCUCUCCAUCAAUGCUUUUGUCGGAUACUCGUUGCCUAUGGCAAUGUAUUACUAUGGGCUACAUGACACAAGCGCCUCCUACGGUGUGAUCUUCUCAAGUUUGACUCCGCUCUUCACGGUUGUCCUGUCAAUAUUUCUUGGUAUGGAGAGCUUGCGCCUCAAAUCCAACGAGGGUAGUGCGAAGGUGGUUGGUGCAUUGUUAUGUUUUGGUGGGGCUUUGCUGAUUAGCCUGUACAAUGGAAAGGAACUGCAUCUCUUUACCCCGGUUAUAAAGGCAUCACUAAGAGUUCUAAUGGAGUAG